AAGAAAAAAAGUGAUAUAUAAUCACUCACAUCUUCAUUUUAUUUCUUCUUCUUCUUCUUCUUUUUUUUUUUUGAAAAAUGCAUCCCAUUCUAUUGUCAGUCUAUUAGAAUUUAAACGUACAAAUCAAAAUAAAGAAGAAAAAAGGUGAUAUAUAAUCACUCACAUCAUUUUAUUUUACAUGUAUUUAACCGUAAUGCCUAGACAACCUAACUGGCGUGAUAUAAUUAAUCAAUGGGUAAAUUAUAUUUUUCGUCCUUUAUGCUUGUAUCGGAUUUUAGUGGAUAGUCUUUAACUUCAAUAAUUACAAUCACAAUCCUUUAUUGGGAAAACUAGGUACAUCUUUCAUCCUUUAGCACUAAGAAGGUUAAAAUUUUUAGUUAAGUCUAUUCACUUAAAGACAGUUUAGUCUUUUUACUUAGUUAUUUACAAUAUAAAUAGAAGAAAAUAAGAUCAAAUAUAAAUACCUCUUUUUUUUCACUCUCUCACACACACUUUGAACCCUCUCUCUCUCUCUAAACAACAGCCACCACCAUCACCCACAGAACAACAUUAGGUUUCACCUCAACAUCUUCAUUCUCUCUCAUUUGCUCUUUAACCAAAGCUGCUUGCUUCAACACUACUUCAUAAACCAAUUGUUCAGACGAAACAACCAAUUCCCCACUUGGGUAGCCACCACCCUUGAAACAAAAUCCUUUUUUGUCCCUUAAUUCAAUCCCAUAAAAUAUGCAUUCAGGUAGCUGGAUUUGCAUUCAUGUUUCUUACCAAGAUUAUUGAUUUUUUUACUCCUCAAAGUUGCAGCCACCACCGACGCACAUCCACCACCGUUGCACACCCACCACCGGCGUCCUCUCCGUUUCUUGGGUACAGUUUCAAUUCAGAUGAUGGUUUGUAGAAGAAGGUUAAUACUUGGGGAAUUUGUGAAGAAAGAAUGUUGAUUUAUGAAAUUGGGGGUUUAGGGUAAAAAGAAAAAGGUGAUCUGAGGAGAGAGAAGAAGGUGGGGUGUGUGAGGUUUGAGGUGUUGGUUUGAAAGAGGGAAAUCCAACAAUAUUUUUUACUUUCUACAAUUAUUAUGAUGGUUAAUAGUAAUGAAUGUUGAUGGUGAUGAUGAUACUUAAUGGUUGAUCUUGAUGAUGGUAGUAGAGAGAUACGGAGAGAGAAAAGAGAUAAUGGAGCGAGAAGUUUUAUGUAUUAUUAUAUAUAGAGUAAAUUACAAGUUUUGUCCUUUUAUGUU